UGCGGGGUCAAUUUCUAGAGGCUUGUCCACCAGUAUAUCCAGAUCCAGACAUGCAGCCUCCUCCAAGAAAGGUAAAAGUAACACAAGAAGUGAAACACACUCACACAGAGCAGCUGAACAGACUCCAGCUUAAACACCAGACAGACUUGGACUUCCUGGAGGAUCUGAGGAUUUACAGCCAGAAGAAAGCACUAAUAGAGAAAGAUUGCUCACAGG